UGACGCAGAUAGAGUUGGCUGCCGUUGGCUUCUCCGACGGCCGGGCUUACACCGUGGGUUGAAUUUGGUCCUUCGAAACGGAAUGGGUUUUCUCGCUCCGAUGAUUGGGGGGGUUUUGGAGCUCUAAUGCAUUACAACUUCGAGCGCACAUACAUACACACACACAUAUCCUGUGCGCGAGGUAAAUCGUCUUUUCUAGGCAAGAGAAAAAUCCCCGCAACAGAGCCACGAUGGUAGCGAAAAAGGGACGGAUGGCACAACGGCAUUAUACGCCGUAUUUGUGUGGUGCUGUGUCGACAGACGGAGUGAUGUGAUGCGAGCACUCUAGCAGGCAAAACGCAUGACGAAGCGCAUCCGGGAAGGUAUACGUACAAACGCACAUACACACACACACACACACACACACACACACACACACACAAUCUGUUGGUGCGGUAGCGGUGAAGAUUACGUUUUCUCUCUUCCAUUCUAUUUACUUUGGCUGACACAAAUCAUCAGUCCAUCGCAUUUACUCUACCGCAAACAGAAAAAAAAAUCCGCCAUAUUCGGCGCUCCGCUAGGGAAGAGACUUGUACAAAAACAACAUACCCCUGGCAGUCUGUUGAACCAUAUCGCUAUAACCGGAUUUCUACCCAUAGCCAGCAUCCAACCAAACAGCGUAAAACACAAAAACAACUCAAUCGAGGACAAAAUUAAGAAAAAAAAAACAAUGCUCUACAAUACGUUUUUCAGUCUUCAUCUUCACACAUACACAUACACACCAAUGUACAAAGUUUCCGUUGCCAUUGUGAGAAGCAAAAAUAAGAAACAAUCUCCAGCAGGAGGUGGUAUGUAAAGAAAUCAAGUAUUCGACUUUUGUAUGGAAACCCAUCGACAAGCUCCACGAGUGUGUCCGCUUUCACGGGCAGUGUACCACGCUGGUGGUGCUGAGGUUCGCGUUCGAAGGGUCGUUUCUUUGCUUUUUGAAACUGCGACUUCAUAAACAACAAACGAGUAUGCGUGUCAUAUCUCAUUACCUCCUGGUACAGUGGUGGUGGUGGGGAUGACGAUCGAUCCUUUCCCAAGCACAGGAGAUAUUUGAUAUAUUCCCAAAGUACUCUUUGCCCGGUCAUACUAACCGCUCAAUGGAACGUCCAACCAAGCCCAAAUAAAACAAAGCAGCCGGAGCGGACACACUGCAUUGAACGCCCUUGUCUAAGCUCAACGUCGCACUAUAAGAAAUUUCUGAGAAUAUGCCGAUCAUGAAUAAAGCAAAAACGUUGUUUUCUUUCCUGAAAAUGUACUCCAAAUUCUAUGUAACCAUUAUAACCAUAUCAUAGGGAAAAUAAACUUUCGAAAGUGGUCCACAGGCCCAAAAAUGUAA